CGUGGGGUUAGCGGCUAGGUUCUCGGCUUUUCCAUGUCCCCGGGCGUCUCGGGAGGACGAGGUCCUUCAGGCGCACCGAGGCCGACUAAGAGCCUCUAGAGUGAAUAAGAGACUGGGAGAGGGAGAGGGUUCAGUUUGGGUCCAGCCAAACCCUUAAUUUUUAACUCCUUGGGUUUAUUCGAUGGGUUGUUGUGAUGUUGCAAUCCCUCUAGAAAGUCAGGCAGUCCUUUGGGUUACCCGAGGAAAAUGUUGAGCGCGCUCGUCGAGGGUUCAUGGAAGUUGCUGGGAUUGGAGUCAUGUGAGCUGGUGGAGCUGGCCUGAAUCCCUUGGAGGGAGUGUCGAGGCGCACAGCCUCUCGAGAGGCUGAGGGGUCAGUGGCUGUCACAGAAGACUUCAGUCUCUCAUUUUCAACUGUGAGUCUGCAGUCAUUGAUACCACUGCAAAGGGAGCUUCCUUGCUGGUCAGCAUGGAUCAUAGACAUCUGCCUGGUUUCUGGCAAUGGUCCAGACCAUGGAAAUCCACUCAGUCUCUGGUGGCAGCAUAGACCACAGACAACAGAGCUCCCGGUCACAGCACUACUCCCCUCUAUAAAACUUUUUC
rnacentral:lncRNA from 1 species